AAUAUCAUAGAAUAGAUUUGAAUUAGAGAUCGGUUGAAAAUAGAAAAAACCGUGUACGUCGUCCUUCUGUGGUUCAUUUACAUUUAAGAGCGCCUAUGUGACUAAAGUCGCCUAGUUCUUACAGAGAUAUGAGAAAAACAAGAAACAACGUUAGAGCAGAAGGACGGUUUCGUGUUUCAAGGGCGGAUGACCCAGAGGUCAGAGUAUGCGAGUCGAAAAGCGAGUGUGUUGCGAGAGUCAGAGCUAAUUGAGUCGUUGAAGAGUAGAGUCGUUAGAGGUUUCGAAUUGUCGAAGAGUAGAGUCGUUAGAGGUUUCGAAUUGUCGAAGAGUAGAGUCGUUAGAGGUUUCGAAUUGUCGAAGAGUAGAGUCGUUAGAGGUUUCGAGUCGUCGAAGAGUAGAGUCGUGAGAAUUGAUAGAGUUGUUAGAGAGAGAGUGUGUGUGUGUUAGAUUCGUUGUGACGAGAGUGAUCAAAUAACUGUAAAGUUAUUUGAUAUAGAUACGAGUAUUGCAUUUAGUUUCCGUUAAAUAAAUAUCGUUCUCUGUCCAAUUUAUAUCUGUAUAUUCAGUUUAAUAUUAAUAAAUUGUAAAAUAUUGGUAAGUCAGUACAUCCCAGAGCAUUACAGAGAAUAAUUAUAGGACGACUGCAUUCUAAAAAUUUCUUCAACCCGCAAACAUUACUUUCAAGCGUGACAUAGUUCUCAGUAAAAGAAAUGUAAAUUUUAUAUUAUAUUCUUUAUAUCAUAUUGCAUAUCUGUAUGUAACAACUUAACAUAUACACAAUAUAUACGUUAUUAUACAAUAAUAUACGCAUUUAAAGGAGUUAUACAUCCAAUACAGCAUAGCUUACAAAUAACACAUACUACUACACUAUAAAAAUAAACAUAAUGUAAAUCACUGCGUAUUUUCUGAAUUUCAUUGAAUAAUACAAUACGUCAAAGAGAA